AUUGAACGCUGGCGGCAUGCCUUACACAUGCAAGUCGAACGGUAACGCGGGGCAACCUGGCGACGAGUGGCGAGCGGGUGAGUAAUAUAUCGGAACGUGCCCAGUAGUGGGGGAUAGCCCGGCGAAAGCCGGAUUAAUACCACAUACGACCCAAGGGUGAAAGCGGGGGAUCGCAAGACCUCGCGCUAUUGGAGCGGCCGAUAUCAGAUUAGCUAGUUGGUGGGGUAAAAGCCUACCAAGGCGACGAUCUGUAGCUGGUCUGAGAGGACGACCAGCCACACUGGGACUGAGACACGGCCCAGACUCCUACGGGAGGCAGCAGUGGGGAAUUUUGGACAAUGGACGCAAGUCUGAUCCAGCCAUGCCGCGUGCGGGAAGAAGGCCUUCGGGUUGUAAACCGCUUUUGUCAGGGAAGAAAUCCUUUGAGUUAAUACCUCGGAGGGAUGACGGUACCUGAAGAAUAAGCACCGGCUAACUACGUGCCAGCAGCCGCCGUAA
rnacentral:rRNA from 1 species